rnacentral:rRNA from 1 species
UACGGGGGGAGCAAGCGUUGUUCGGAUUUACUGGGCGUAAAGGGCGCGUAGGCGGCGCAACAAGUCACUUGUGAAAUCUCCGGGCUUAACCCGGAGCGGUCAAGUGAUACUGUCGUGCUAGAGUGCGGAAGGGGCUACUGGAAUUCUCGGUGUAGCGGUGAAAUGCGUGAGAUAUCUGGAGGAACACCGGUGGCGAAGGCGGCGUCCUGGACCAACACUGACACU